ACUAAACUCACAUGGAGGGUGAUAGUGUAAAUUAGUGGUUAAGUGACCCUGGGUUCAAUCCCCAGUACCAAAAAAAAAAAAAAAAAAAUGUCAGAACAAGUGAAGAGUUAACUUUUGUGCACACCUGUAGUCCUAGUGGCUUGGAAAGCUGAAGCAAGAGGAUCACAAAUUCAAAGCCAGCUUCAGCAACUUAGCGAGACCUUGUCUCAAAAUAAAAAGAACUGGGGAUUUGGUCUGGUUUGAUCACCCCUGGGUUCAGUCCCUUGUAUCAAAAAUUUUACAGAGUUAACUUUUAAGUAUUCCUCGAGAAAGAGCUUAGUUUCACCAGUUAACCUCUUUUGAUUCUUCUACCACCUAUUCCCCUUCUGCUCCCAACACACACACAUACACACACACACUUGCACAAUCACAUGCAAACCCUUCCUUUGCCUGUUAUUCUAAGGCCUUAAAAAAAAAGUGUGUGUUAUUUCUUUUUUUUUCCCCUGUGAUAUAUCAAGAGAAAAGUUCUGAUUUUAUUUCAGGAAAAAGCAAGUCUUCUAAAUGAUUAGUUAGGUAUAGGUAAAUCACAAUGUUAAAUUAUUUUUUUCCUUUUUGAUUCCACUUUAUAGUUACCUGACAGGAUUUAGGUUUUUCCUAUCCCUGUAAGAAUAAUAGCUGUAAAAAUAUUUCAGGAAGGGCUGGGAUUGUGGCUCAGGAGUACUGGGCUCGCUACUACCAUAUAAAUAAAAGAUACUGUGUUCCACUACAACUAAAAAAUAAUAUAUUAAAAAAAUCCUUCAGGGCGGGCUACAGAUGUGCCUCAGUGGAAGAGCAUUUGCCUGGCAUGUGUGAGGCCCUGGUUUUGAUCUCCAGCACCAAAAAAAAAAAACAAAACCAUUCUGUGGCACAUUCCUGUAAUCCCAGCAACUUGGAAGACUAAAGCAGGAUGAUAAUAAUUUCCAGACCAGCCUGGGCAAUUUAGCAAGUCCCUAUCUCAAAAUUUCAAAUUUAAAAAAAAUAGGACUGGGGAUGUAUCUCG
rnacentral:lncRNA from 1 species